AAAAAAAAAAAAAAAAAAAGAAAGAAAAGAAAAAAAAAAUAAUCAGCCUACCAACGACAGCAUUGCGCGAACAAUCGUGCACACAGCUGAAGGCGGCUAUGACACAAUGCGGUUUACCGUAUCGCAAUCAGACGUCAGCCGGAUUUCUCGAGGAUCUUCCUGUGGUGGACAAACACGACCCUCGAAUUAGUCCACUUUCCUCCUUUUUCCACGUCCUUCACACUCUCUACCGUCCCCCUCCAAUCCCCACCGCUCUGCGCUAGAGCAGAGGAUUGGAAAGGGAUCGCUUCGAUUCUUUGUCGAUGAAAAAAAUAAAUUUUUUUCUGCAAA